AGUCGAACGGUAACAGGAAGCAGCUUGCUGCUUUGCUGACGAGUGGCGGACGGGUGAGUAAUGUCUGGGAAACUGCCUGAUGGAGGGGGAUAACUACUGGAAACGGUGGCUAAUACAGCAUAACGUCGCAAGACCAAAGAGGGGGACCUUCGGGCCUCUUGCCAUCAGAUGUGCCCAGAUGGGAUUAGCUUGUUGGUGAGGUAACGGCUCACCAAGGCGACGAUCCCUAGCUGGUCUGAGAGGAUGACCAGCCCCACUG
rnacentral:rRNA from 1 species